rnacentral:rRNA from 1 species
GACGAAGGAUCCAAGCGUUAUCCGGAUUUAUUGGGUUUAAAGGGUGCGUAGGCGGACUUGUAAGUCAGUGGUGAAAGCCCGAUGCUUAACAUCGGAACUGCCAUUGAUACUGCAAGUCUUGAAUAUGUUUGAAGUGGGCGGAAUGUGUCGUGUAGCGGUGAAAUGCUUAGAUAUGACACAGAACACCGAUUGACGAAGGCAGCUCACUAAACCAUUAUUGACGCUGAUGCACGAAAGCGUGGGGAGCAAACAGG